rnacentral:rRNA from 1 species
GAUGAACGCUGGCGGCGUGCCUAAUACAUGCAAGUCGAGCGAAUGGAUUAAGAGCUUGCUCUUAUGAAGUUAGCGGCGGACGGGUGAGUAACACGUGGGUAACCUGCCCAUAAGACUGGGAUAACUCCGGGAAGCCGGGGCUAAUACCGGAUAACAUUUUGAACCGCAUGGUUCGAAAUUGAAAGGCGGCUUCGGCUGUCACUUAUGGAUGGACCCGCGUCGCAUUAGCUAGUUGGUGAGGUAACGGCUCACCAAGGCAACGAUGCGUAGCCGGCCAGGAGGGGUGGUCGGCCACACUGGGACUGGGACACGGCCCAGAAUCCUACGGGAGGGAGCAGUAGGGAAUCUUCCGCAAUGGACGAAAGUCUGACGGAGCAACGCCGCGUGAGUGAUGAAGGCUUUCGGGUCGUAAAACUCUGUUGUUAGGGAAGAACAAGUGCUAGUUGAAUAAGCUGGCACCUUGACGGUACCUAACCAGAAAGCCACGGCUAACUACGUGCCAGCCGCCGCAGUAA